rnacentral:tRNA from 2 species
GCCCUGGUAGCUCAGCUGGAUAGAGCAGAGGACUUCUAAGCCUAAGGUCACUGGUUCGAAUCCAGUCCGGGGCACCA